AGUUCAGAUUGCAGGCUGAAACUCGCCUGCAUGAAGUCGGAAUUGCUAGUAAUCGCAGAUCAGCAUGCUGCGGUGAAUACGUUCCCGGGCCUUGUACACACCGCCCGUCACACCAUGGGAGUCGGUAACACCCGAAGCCUGUAGUCUAACCGCAAGGAGGACGCAGUCGAAGGUGGGAUUGAUGACUGGGGUGAAGUCGUAACAAGGUAUC
rnacentral:rRNA from 1 species